rnacentral:rRNA from 1 species
AGAACGAACGCUGGCGGCAGGCUUAACACAUGCAAGUCGAACGGUUGUAGCAAUACAGCAGUGGCGCACGGGUGAGUAACGCGUGGGAAUGUACCUUAGAGUUCGGAAUAACAGCGGGAAACUGCUGCUAAUACCGGAUAUUCUCCUCGGAGGAAAGAUUUAUCGCUCUAAGAUCAGCCCGCGUCAGAUUAGCUAGUUGGUGGGGUAAUGGCCUACCAAGGCUCCGAUCUGUAGCUGGUCUGAGAGGACGACCAGCCACACUGGAACUGAGACACGGUCCAGACUCCUACGGGAGGCAGCAGUGGGGAAUAUUGGACAAUGGGCGAAAGCCUGAUCCAGCCAUGCCGCGUGAAUGAUGAAGGCCUUAGGGUUGUAAAGUUCUUUUGUCAGGGAAGAUAAUGACGGUACCUGAAGAAUAAGCACCGGCUAACUUCGUGCCAGCAGCCGC